rnacentral:rRNA from 1 species
GACGAACGCUGGCGGCGUGCCUAAUACAUGCAAGUCGAACGCAGUGGGGACGGGUGAGUAACACGUGGGUAACCUCCCCUCAGAGGGGAUAACCCUUGGAAACAGGUGCUAAACCGCUACUGAUGGAUGGACCCGCGGUGCAUUGGCUAGUUGGUGGGGUAACGGCUCACCAAGGCUACGAUGCAUAGCCGACCUGAGAGGGUGGUCGGCCAAACUGGGACUGGAACAAGGCCCAGACGCCUACGGGAGGCAGCAGGAGGGAAUCUUCGGCAAUGGAAGAAAGGCUGACCGAGCAACGCCGCGUGAGUGAAGAAGGUUUUCGGAUUGGAAAACUAUGUUAAUCGGGACGCGGUACCGGAAUAGAAAGCCACGGCUAACUACGUGCCAGCAGCCGCGGUAAUAC